CCCUGGUUAGCGCAGUUGGUAGAGCGUUUCACUGCAAAUGAACAGGUCCUGGGUUCAAUACCCGGACCAGAGG
rnacentral:tRNA from 1 species